UUUUCUCUUGUUUUCGGAUCAAACAGACAAGUUUCAAACAAACCCAUAUUUGUGAUAGGUUAACUCGCACUCAUUUUUCUUGUUAAAAUUCAAUCCUUGCGGAGAAGAAUCUUUUAUUAUUACUUCUGAUACAUACUAGUACAGUUGUUAGUUUUGUCAUCAAGUUUUUAGUGUCGUUGUUGGGGAUUGUUGAUUUUCAACAAGGCAAUUUAG
rnacentral:lncRNA from 1 species